UGAAAGGACAUUUCUACAUGCAUGCUGGU
rnacentral:piRNA from 1 species